AGGGCAUUUGCCAAGCGGUAAGGCACAGUAUUUUGAUUCCUGCAUUCACCAGUUCGAAUCUGGUAUGCCCUG
rnacentral:tRNA from 1 species